CCGCCGGCGACCGGCGCACGGGUGAGUAACACGUAUGCAACCUGGCCGUGACAGAUGGAUAACCGGGAGAAAUCCCGCCUAAUACAACAUAAUGCCGGGAGGGGACAUCCCCUGCCGGCCAAAGGGGCGGACCCCGGUCACGGAUGGGCAUGCGGCGCAUUAGGUAGUUGGUGGGGCAACGGCCCACCAAGCCGACGAUGCGUAGGGGUUCUGAGAGGAAGGUCCCCCACAUUGGAACUGAGACACGGUCCAAACUCCUACGGAAGGCAGCAG
rnacentral:rRNA from 1 species